rnacentral:rRNA from 1 species
GACGAACCGAGCGAACGUUGUUCGGAAUCACUGGGCUUAAAGGGCGCGUAGGCGGGCGGCCGCGUCCGGGGUGAAAUCCCACGGCUCAACCGUGGAACGGCCUCGGAUACGGGCGGGCUGGAGGCGGGUAGGGGCAGGCGGAACUGUGGGUGGAGCGGUGAAAUGCGUUGAGAUCCACAGGAACUCCGGUGGCGAAGGCGGCCUGCUGGACCCGAACUGACGCUGAGGCGCGAAAGCCAGGGGAGCGAACGGG